UACGGAGGGGGCUAGCGUUGUUCGGAAUUACUGGGCGUAAAGCGCACGUAGGCGGAUCGAUCAGUCAGGGGUGAAAUCCCAGGGCUCAACCCUGGAACUGCCUUUGAUACUGUCGAUCUGGAGUAUGGAAGAGGUGAGUGGAAUUCCGGGUGUAGAGGUGAAAUUCGUAGAUAUUCGGAGGAACACCAGUGGCGAAGGCGGCUCACUGGUCCAUUACUGACGCUGAGGUGCGAAAGCGUGGGGAGCAAACAGG
rnacentral:rRNA from 1 species